rnacentral:rRNA from 1 species
CCUACGGGGCGCACCAGUGGGGAAUAUUGGACAAUGGGCGAAAGCCUGAUCCAGCAAUGCCGCGUGUGUGAAGAAGGUCUUCGGAUUGUAAAGCACUUUCGACGGGGGCGAUGAUGACGGUACCCGUAGAAGAAGCCCCGGCUAACUUCGUGCCAGCAGCCGCGGUAAUACGAAGGGGGCUAGCGUUGCUCGGAAUGACUGGGCGUAAAGGGCGCGUAGGCGGUUUAUGCAGUCAGAUGUGAAAUCCCCGGGCUUAACCUGGGAACUGCAUUUGAGACGCAUAGACUAGAGGUCGAGAGAGGGUUGUGGAAUUCCCAGUGUAGAGGUGAAAUUCGUAGAUAUUGGGAAGAACACCGGUGGCGAAGGCGGCAACCUGGCUCGAUACUGACGCUGAGGCGCGAAAGGGUGGGGAGCAAACAGGAUUAGAUACCCGAGUAGUC